rnacentral:rRNA from 1 species
GACGAACGCUGGCGGCGUGCUUAACACAUGCAAGUCGAACGGAAAGGCCCUGCUUUUGGGGGGUGCUCGAAUGGCGAAAGGGUGAGUAACACGUGAGUAACCUGCCCUUGACUUUGGGAUAACUUCAGGAAACUGGGGCUAAUAACGGAUAGGAGCUCCUGCGGGAGGGUGGGGGUUGGAAAGUUUCGGCGGUUGGGGAUGGACUCGCGGCUUAUCAGCUUGUUGGUGGGGUAGUGGCUUACCAAGGCUGUGACGGGUAGCCGGCCUGAGAGGGUGACCGGCCACAUUGGGACUGAGAUACGGCCCAGACUCCUACGGGAGGCAGCAGUGGGGAAUAUUGCACAAUGGGCGGAAGCCUGAUGCAGCAACGCCGCGUGCGGGAUGACGGCCUUCGGGUUGUAAACCGCUUUCGCCUGUGACGAAGCGUGAGUGACGGUAAUGGGUAAAGAAGCACCGGCUAACUACGUG